AAAGAAACCCUAGCAGUUGAGGGUAAAAGAUGCAGGUGAGAGGCUGAGAGGUAAAGGAAAGUGCUUACCGCUUGAACUGUGGUGACUGAGAACUGUGACGAGAGCCUUCGAUGAUGGAGACGAGAGAAACGUUCUCGAGGGUACGAACAGUACGCAAAUGGAGAAUUGUGGUUGAUUGAACUGCGAAUGAUAGAGAGUGAAGAAGAAGAGAGGAAAAGAGGAAGAAAGUGAAUGACAGUGUAAUAGGUCGAACGAGAUUGAGAGAGAAAUGGGAAAUGAGAGUCAGAGGGACGAACAUGAGAAGGACCGAGAGGGAAAUGGAAAAAAUGAAAAAGAGAGAUACUAUGACGGAUUUCUAAAAAUCACUCAUAAUAUAUUAAAAAUUUUAUGACAAGUGUCCAAAAUGUGUAGUAAAAGGUUUUAAACUUAUUUACAAAUUUGUCACCGCGUUUUAUAUUAUAACUGAUAUGUAAAACUAUGUCAUAAUAUGUCUUAGACUUAUUUACGAGUUUGUCACCGCGUUUCAUAUUAUGACGGAUAUAUAAAAGUACG
rnacentral:lncRNA from 1 species